CUGCCUGGCCGUCGCCGCCUAUAAGCUACCAGGAGGAGCUUUACGACUUCCCGGCCUGCGGGAAGUGGCGGGCACGAUCGCAAGGUAGCGCAGAAGCUUCUCAAUGGCCAGCGCCAGCUGCAGCCCCUGCGGCGCACUCGCCUCACCUGAGCCUGGGAGGAAAAUUCUUCCAAGGAUGAUCUCCCACUCAGAGCUGAGGAAGCUUUUCUACUCAGCAGAUGCUGUGUGUUUUGAUGUUGACAGCACGGUCAUCAGUGAAGAAGGAAUCGGAUGCUUUCAUUGGAUUUGGAGGAAAUGUGAUCAGGCAACAAGUCAAGGAUAACGCCAAAUGGUAUAUCACUGAUUUUGUAGAGCUGCUGGGAGAACCGAAAGAAUAACAUCCAUUGUCAUACGGCUCCAAACAACUUCAGAUGAAUUUUUACAAGUUACACAGAUUGAUACUGUUUGCUUACAAUUGCCUAUUACAACUUGAUAUAGAAAGUUGGUACAGAUGAUCUGCACUGUCAAGUAAACUACAGUUAGGACUCCUCAAAGAUUGGUUUGUUUGUUUGUUUUUAACUGUAGUUCCAGUAUUAUAUGAUGACUAUUGAUUUCCUAGAGAGUUUUGUAAUCUGAAUUCUUUAUGUAUAUUCCUAGCUAUAUUUCAUACAAAGUGUUUUAAGAGUGGAGAGUCAAUUAAACACCUUUACUCUUAGGAAUAUAGAUUCGGCAGCCUUCAAUGAAUAUUGGUUUUUUUCCCUUUGGUAUGUCAAUAAAAGUUUAUCCAUGUGUCAGAACAGAUUUGUGGAAUUUGCAGUUCUGCCUCUCGGAUAUUGGAAUAUCCAAUAUUUCAGGUACUGUGUUGAAGCAUAAACAUCCCCCAGGCAAGAAACAGGCUUAAGACUUUGCUUAGUGCUGGGCACAAUGUCCUCACCCCAUGAGCCCACUCCCACUUCCUAAAGCCCUGGGACCUGGAAAGUCCUUUUUUUUACCUCUUGGGAUUUGUCAUAUAUGAAAUGUUACAGAGAUUGUUUUUUUU
rnacentral:lncRNA from 1 species